rnacentral:rRNA from 1 species
GACAGAGGGUGCAAGCGUUGUUCGGAAUUACUGGGCGUAAAGCGUGUGUAGGCGGCCACGUAAGUCGGAUGUGAAAGCCCUGGGCUCAACCCAGGAAGUGCACUCGAUACUGCGUGGCUAGAGUACUGGAGAGGUUGGUGGAAUUCUCGGUGUAGAGGUGAAAUUCGUAGAUAUCGAGAGGAACACCGGUGGCGAAGGCGGCCAACUGGACAGAUACUGACGCUGAGACACGAAAGCGUGGGGAGCAAACAGG